GUGGGAGCUAAACGAAGAGCAAUUUGAUGACGAGAAAUGGGAAAUUGAGUAGCUAUAUAUAGGGCUCAAUGAUGCAAGUAACGACAAGAGUUUUCCUAAAGAAGGAGAAAGUCACAUAAUAGCUAGUAACUGAUGAGAGCAGAAUAGAAACAACCAGGAAAUCAGCAGGAACCUCCAUUGCCCAUGGUUGACUUUUAACCUCAAUCUGUGGGACCUAAAUGAAAAUGCAAAUCAGUUAUGCUAGUACUAAUGAUCAGAUGAUGAGAAACGGGAAUUUAAGAAACGGAUAUAUAGAGUUGGAUGAUGCAAAGUAUUGAUAUUCUUCAACCAGGUGAAUUGGCUCCUAAGUCCUAACCAUAUACCAAGGAUCAGCUUGUUUGGCAUGUGCUGACUGUUCACUAUUUAACUUAUAAUACACUGGAAAGGUCCCGAU